rnacentral:rRNA from 1 species
GUGGGGAAUCUUGCACAAUGGGCGAAAGCCUGAUGCAGCGACGCCGCGUGGGGGAUGAAGCUUUUCGGAGUGUAAACCCCUUUCGACCCGGACGAAUACCUCGCAAGAGGGGUGACGGUACGGGUAUAAGAAGCCCCGGCUAACUACGUGCCAGCAGCCGCGGUAAGACGUGGGGGGCCAGCGUUGUUCGGAAUUACUGGGUGUAAAGGGUCAGUAGGCGGUGUGGCAAGUCGGGAGUGAAAUCUCUGGGCUCAACCCAGAGACUGCUUCCGAAACUGCUGUGCUAGAGUGUGGGAGAGGCGCGUGGAAUUGCAGGUGUAGCGGUGAAAUGCGUAGAUAUCUGCAGGAACACCCGUGGCGAAAGCGGCGCGCUGGACCACAACUGACGCUGAAUGACGAAAGCUAGGGGAGCAAACAGGAUUAGAAACCCCUGUAGUCC